UUGCAGAAAAACUACUUAGCUCCACAGAGCACACCCACAGUGGAAGGGCAAUUCUGCUUGUGGAUUUUGUUCUUGUUAGCUACAAGAUGAAUUUCCCUUCUCUGCCAGCCAGUCUGGGAAAACUCAUGCCACCCCAUGGAUGGGUUCAGCACAGCUACCUCAUUGGAGAUGAAGGGCUCACAGUUUUUUCUAUAGGGCUCUUAGAUGAAGGCACGACAAAGGCUGUGAGCAUUCAGCUCGCUUAUGAACCAGAGGGGCCUUGUUUCCACCAGAUUUGUACUGAGGUAGCUUUAUUCCACAGCAAUAGAUUGCUGCUUCUGCUGCAGGGCCAGGAGGUAGCUCCAUGCACUGUUCUCCAAAGCACAAAGAGGACAGGUGGGAGGAUGUGUGACUCAGAAAGCUGUCAAGGGCCUGGUCUGUGUUCCUAGAAUUGUUUUCUCUUUGCAUCCAAAGGCUUAAAGAGUGAUGUUCAAGUAGACCUGUGCUCCAUGCCCUGAGUGCACUCGCUCAUCCCUCAGCUGCACAGCCAGGCCUUUUUUUGCAGCGUCUGAUGUGGGUUUGAACGUCCUCCAGCCAAGAAAGGCUCAAAACCCUUGUGUCUCAUUUCCUGAGCAUGUGUUCAAACCACUAAUUCAAAAUUCAGGCAUUACCCGCAGUGCCUGCUUUAUAUUUAUGCUUUUAAAGGAUAAAAUGGGUGUUGUUUUAUCCUGAAAAUACAAAGCGUUACCGUUGGUCAUCAAGGUAGGACAAUGUGUUUGAGUGCUGAAGGUCUAGAGAAGUGUGCCAGAUCUUUCCCCAACAUCCACUGCCCAGGGAAGCUUCACACUAAACUCAGUGACCCCAGCUGAUAACUCAUGCUGGUAAGAAACAACCACACAACACUUAAUAGGAAGUAAAAUGAGUGAGUGAGUUUUAAUAGAGAUACUGCUUCUGCUGUCAGAUGUUUCUUGAUUAAAAUACUGCCAGAAAAUAUGUUUAAUAAAAUUAUAUGUUUUAAUAGAAUCUGAUUGCAUAGGAGUCUAUUACCUAAGACGUUUUCUUAGAGUUCUAAAAGGUUAACCUAACUGGAAAGUCUCCUAAAGGAAAACAGUUUUGUAAUGCAAAGCUCUCUUGUCUAAGGGUUUACUUUUAGUACAGUGUUUUUGUAGAAGAUUUACCAUUGCUGAGAAAACCUUGUGCAUUGUCACUCUAAAUUUAGAACUGCGUGCUGCAGGAAUACUGAAUGGUCUGUUCUCAUCUUCAGGACAAAAUAAUAUUUUUACUUCAGCAUGAAACAGUGCUCGAUCUUCAUCCCUUUGUGGUUUCAGAUAAGGCAAUCUGGCCCACAGCAGACACAAAAAACCUUUUCUGAACUGACAUGGAACAAUGUUUUCUUAUUCCAGCAUAAAUUUAAAAACCAUAUUCCUUUUCAGUUUCAGUAUUUUAUGGUUCCAAAACAGAAAAAGAUAACAGAUAAAUGUUUAUUUUGUCAUUGCCAAGGAGUUGCUUAGUGUUGUCCUGUACUCUCCAAGCAUGACACCACAUCCAAAUAACAUUUCAAUUUACCUGAGUGGUGCAGCAGCCCAGCCAUGUACCCCUAAACGCAAGGGGAUCCAUCUCAUCAUCACACAGGUCACAACAGGAAUGGGAUCCCACACAGGCACCGUGCUAGGCUUCCCAUUGCUGCCAAUGCCCUGACACACCAAGCUGCAAGUGUUUUAGACCCUUGAUUCCCAUCUAACUCUAUUCUAUGAUCCCUGCACACAAUGGAUGCUGUGCUUCAUGAAUGUUUUUUCUCUUGUUUGUUUGUUUCCCUAAGAAAGAUCUCCUGAGUAUGGAAGGAGAAAAAUGGCUCAUGCCAUCAGCUCUGCCUGCAAAAUCUCUUCUGCCUCUUGGCACUGGAAUUUAUUGGUGGUGUUUUGGCACCAUCGUGCACUUUCUGGCCGAGAAGAUUAGUUGUUUUAGUUGUUUCUAAUUAAUACCGAAUUUUUAAGUAAGUUUUCCACAUAAAUUAGACUCUUACACACUUCAGUACUGCCAGAUGGAUGGAGCCAUCUGUCAGAGAUUAACACUCAUUAAAGGACCACUUCGUAUUAGGAAAAAGAAAAAAAAAUAACAAUUCUGUAGAGUUCCAAUAAAAGUUUUUGCUUUGUACAUGGGUUGAACUAAACAAUUGCAUGCGAAACUGCUCUUGUUUUCAAAGAUCAGCAUUUAUGAUUGCUUGUAUAAUACUUUGCUGAACUUGAAAAAAGAAACGGUUGCAUGAUUAACCCACUUUUACAGCACAGACAUAUUUCUGAGGGCUGCUGGUCUGGGAUGAUGCUGUAGAUGCUACAAGAAAGUUUGGAAAGCAAGAAACUGUGUGGCUCACACAUGUGUGGGGGAGGUGCUCCAGUGCUCUGAUCUUCGUGACCCUCCUCUGGACCUGCUCCAAUAACUCCACAUCUUCCUUGUGACCUGGAUGCGGUACUCCAGGUGGGGCUUACAAGGGCAGAGUAGAGGAGGAAAGCCUUUCCCUUUAACAUCAGAAGACAGCCCUGGAUAAGGGUGUAACAGGAGGCGCAUCGUGAACCUUGCACUAGGGAGUGCUCAGACUGAACGGGUACACAGACACGCAAGGAAGAGGAAAACACUAAGUUUGCAACUCAUGCUGGAGUAACACAACCUCAAACAACACCAGCAAUGUGGAAAUGCCAGUUGUGUGCAUGGACAAAUUGCUUUCAGAGUUGGAUAAAGUCAGAUAAGAAAAAUAAUCUUGAUGGGGAAAAAAAGCUCUACAGAUAGUUAGAAUAGAGGCAGUAGAAUUUGCAUUACUGACAGACUACAGCCAGCUCAUUCCUACACACCGAUUCCAAGCUAUAAAGUUUUGCAACCACCUACUGAAGAAGACACCUGGCUGUACUGUAUGCCCAAGCAAAGAACAUCUCACAUCUCUGAGGAGCGGUAACCUGGAUCCUAACAUUCAGUGCUCCAUCAGAUGAGAUCCUAUCACAGGCCAGGUGAAGGCUCAGCUUCUCACAGAAGUAGAGAGGUCACUCUGCAAGGGACUUCAGACAAUUCUCCAUAAGCAUUCUAUGAGCGGUUUAGGCAGUUUCUGGCAGCAGAUCAGAUACCAGGGGCACAGCUUCUAUAUAUGCAGGAAAGAAUGUUUUUCUUCUGGCAAUAAAUGGAAAGAACACAUCUAUGAAAUGAAAAGAACCUUGCACCAACCACUGACGACAUAUACCAAAGGACCAGGAGUCUGAACGUACCAAAGUCAGACAGCAGCAGGCUCUUGAUGCCCCUUCUGCCCAUCACACUUAACACAAUACACUGCAUAUCUAUACCAAAAUGUAGGCUGGGGAAUAAGUACUGCUCCAUUUCAAUACCAACAACGUGGAGCUGAAGAGUCAGGAAUUAAGUAGACAGUAUUUUAAAAACAAGUCCAUAAGGCUCUACUGUAAACAGCAUAAAAACUGAAAAACAAGGAGUAUUUUGAUCAACGCUUUCAUGCAUCAAAUACUUUUUCUAGCAUGCCAAAAUUGGAAAACAUGCAUUGCUUCCCUGGAUGGAUUCAAUGUGCCAGAACAGAGGUCGAACCCCAGUAAUCCUGUGCAAAGAGAGGCCUUCACAGAAAUGAAUAGGUGGCCUGUGGACAUACACUAUUGCAUAAAGCAGAUAAUCUUUGUCUCAAAAUGCUACGUUUAAACACGGAUUGGAGUGGAAACAAUGUGUGCUGUAAGGCUAAUGGUGGAAACUGCAGUCUUCAGGCAAGAUCUUUUCAGAACUUCGUUGUUAUUUUUAGUUGCUUUUCCUUCUGACAUUUUAAACUGACACACCAGGAAACCUGAGUGGUCAAGUCAGCUCCCUCCAACCCCACCAGAAGUCAGGACACAAAAAACCUGAGUCCUUUGAGAUCAGAUUGAUACAUCCAAUUCUCAAAUAGUUAAAAUUGAAAAAGAUCUAAAUCUUUUUCCAGUUGGAGCAUACUUCACUAAGCUUAAAUGCCUCUGAGUGGGCUUCUGAACUGUCACUGCUGGUAUUAUUAGUAGGCAAAGAAAGUCCCAUUUUAAUUAGAAACUUUAUUUUGAAAUACAUACACAGUUUACAUGUGAAGUGCUUUCACUGUAAGAUACUUCAAAACAUUGCACUGAGCAAAAUGGCUGACCAGUUUCCUUGAAGCUCAUCCAGAUACGUUUUGUUUUUAUUAACAAUAUCUUACAGAACUAAGAUGCAACUUAGGCAUUUGUAUUCAGAAUCUAUGACUAGGUUUACCUUAGGGAGAAAGUUCAUGCUUAACUGUUCCAGUUAACUAUGUGCUUCAGUAACGAUGUUAAGGAUUUGGCAUUAAGACUGAAAAAAACCUGAGUCCUAAUUAAAACUCGUAUUCACCAAAGAUUAAAAACAAAACAAAACCAUCCCUUCUGAAAUUACUUUGUUUAAUAAGGCACAGUCAGACACGUAUUUAUAAAGACUGGCUACCAACUCAGUUUUACCUGCACAGCCUCCUUGCUGCUGUGUCAAAUGCAGUCUGAAAGUUGUUCAACCUGUCUGCUGCUGAGAAU